rnacentral:lncRNA from 1 species
CAUUUAUGGCUCGGUGGAUGCGAUGUUGGCCUUUUCAGUUGUGAACAGGCAAACGAACAGGGAGGGUCGUCUGGCCACUUCCUUACUAAUUUCCUCAAGCGACGUAGCUUGAAUGGGUGGUGCAUCAAGGCUGCAUAGCUACUGGUGUUUGGUCGUGCCACUGGAAUGUCAUGAUGAGGUUUUUCCAAUCGCAUGUCACGACCCCCAAUCCUUCAAGCCACUAAACACCAAACACAACAUUGAGACCGGUAAGGGGCAAUGAGAAAAGAGUGAGAGUGAAAGUAGUAUCUUGGAUUUGUAGUGGCAUGUCGUCGAACUGCCCUUGGGAUUUCAUGGAAUCCCCACUCAUAAUUUUGAUAGAUAAUGGAGCGAUCGGGAUCACAGAAGGUCAUAGCAAGCUCACAACGCUUUU